UAAUACGGAGGGUGCAAGCGUUAUCCGGAUUCACUGGGUUUAAAGGGUGCGUAGGCGGCUUAAUAAGUCAUUGGUGAAAGCUCGCAGCUCAACUGCGAAACUGCCAUUGAAACUGUUUAGCUUGAAUGUGGUUGAAGUGGGCGGAAUACAACAUGUAGCGGUGAAAUGCUUAGAUAUGUUUUAGAACACCGAUUGCGAAGGCAGCUCACUAAGCCAAUAUUGACGCUGAGGCACGAAAGCGUGGGUAGCAAACAGGAUUAGAUACCCUGGUAGUCCACGCCCUAAACGAUGAAUACUCGAUGUGUGCCCCUUGUUGGGUACGCGUCCAAGCAAAAGCGUUAAGUAUUCCACCUGGGAAGUACGGCCGCAAGGUUA
rnacentral:rRNA from 1 species